rnacentral:rRNA from 1 species
GACGUAGGAUGCAAGCGUUGUCCGGAUUCAUUGGGCGUAAAGAGUUCGUAGGCGGUUUGUUAAGUCUGAUGUUAAAGACCGGGACUCAACCUCGGAAAUGCAUUGGAUACUGGCAGACUGGAGUGCAGUAGAGGCUAGUGGAAUUCCCAGUGUAGCGGUGAAAUGCGUAGAUAUUGGGAAGAACACCGGUGGCGUAGGCGACUAGCUGGGCUGUAACUGACGCUGAGGAACGAAAGCCAGGGGAGCGAACAGG